rnacentral:rRNA from 1 species
AUUGGCCUCGGAUCAGGCGGGGAUACCCGCUGAACUU